GGGGAGGCGGGGGUCAGGACCUGAUAAACAUUAAAGAACUCUUUCUACAGAUUGAAUACAAAGGUAAGAGUUCAGCACCUUAUCAUAGCUCUAUUUUGUUCCAGCGGGACCGUAACAUUGUGUCACUCUGACAAAAACUAUAUAUACUUUUGUAAACCAUUACUAUUGAUAUUCAAGUGCUUCAACUUCUGUGGAAUUUUUGUACAAAAUUGGUUAUGGUGGAGGAAUUCUAUUUGUCAUUGAUGAUAGUGAUGCACAUAAAGAGACCAGUGGCGGAGCCAGGAUUUUCAAUAAUGGGGUUCAAAAUUUGAAAAAAUAGAUAGAUGAAGUAGCCGAAGGGGGUUCGACAUCUACUAUAUAUACCUAAAAAUUUAUUUUAACCAUGUAUAAAUCAUAUACUUUUCCGCCGAAGGGGGUUAGGAUGAACCCCCUAAUUGUAAGGUUGCUCUGCCACUGAAAGAGAUAACGUCUUUUUCUCUUUACGAGUUUCUGAGGUAUAUGCCUUUAUCUUUAUCUUGGCAAUUGUCAAAGUCAUCUCUCUCUCUCUCUCGGUUUCUGUAGCCAAUACCUAAGCAACUUUUAGUUUCUUGUAUUAUAACCUUCGUGGUGCUUUAGAAGAGACUUUGAGGCCUUGUUUGAACAUGUAGCCUGUAGGUAUGAAUUAAGUCUGCACUUCAACUUUUAGUGAUUCCAUGGAUUCAUGGGCAUUCAGGACACAUUUCAGUACAACUUAGCUAUUUUGGGGACCACAAAAUCAAUGGCAAAUAUUUCCUCAGAAUAUCAGAUCAACCUUCUGGUUUGACUGCACUUGAUAAAGGACUGUCUUGGUAUCGGAAGAAGUGCUUGGACCUAAAAUUUUCUGGUUGACGAAUAGAGCGAAGAAGGUCAUAGAUUCCCUGGGUGCAUGUUCUUGCACAAAUUACCAUAAUCCAGCUCCAGAUGUACAAUAUUACACUAAGAUUAUCCACACAUGCUACAUCAGUGAAUUGCAAUGCUCGAGGUUGCUUAGCUUUGCUAGUAUUGAACCAGUGGUCGUUUCUGUAUCGGUGUACUUGAGCUUGUAGCAACUGCAGUUUUUAACACAGCUGAAAUAUUUGAAUUCCUUAAUGAUCUGAAGGUCAGUCCUUUCAUUAUCAUUUGUUAUGAUUUCAGUUUUCUUUUUGGUUCUUUUUGCUGUGAAUUAAUGGGUUAAGCAAUAAUUGACCUAAAUUUGCACUUGCAACCUUUUGAUUAUAACUGCAAAAUGCUUUUGCAUUUUAAAUUACUUAUUGAAACAAAGAGGAACCUUCUCUUUCUGAUAUCGUAUACGAUGAGUACAAAGAUAUUUAUACACUUACCUGAGAUCCCCACAAAAUCAAAAUAAUAUCCUACAUAUCUGCUUUUGUGAUUAUCAUGCCCAACUUGUUACAGAGAUAAUCAACUCGAGUUUCAUUCUAUACCCUUGUAAGUAAAUCAGCUAGUUGCUCUACUUGUAAUAUCUCCACUGCAUAUAGGAGAACAACUUAAUCUCCACUGGAUAUACUUACAAGGACAUUGUAAGUAAUAUCCAUUAGAUAUACUCAAGUUUUCCUGAAUCUUCUCGGAAUAAAUGACAAUGGAAUCGAGGCAAUAUGAAGAGCAACUUGAUUAUCACACACCAAAACUUUGUUGGGUUGAAGCAUUUACACUAAAAACUCUGGUGUGAUAAUCAAGUUGCUCAUCAGACACCUCAAAUCCAAUGUAUCAUGAAAGAACUAAACAUCCUACACCAGUGUAUCAGUAAGCACUAUAGAUGACAUGUGAUUAAUCAAAAAAUUAGUUGUGGAAAUCACAUUAGCCCAUAAUUGCUUACGUUUGGGACGACAAAGCAUGAGCAGUCUCAAGGAGAUGUCUAUUUUUCCUCUCAGCCACUCCAUUUUGAAAAAGUAUAUAAACCCGGCGAGGAUUGAUGGAAAAUACCGUGUUGAUUCGUAUUGUUUUGAAAUGCUUCUAACAUGUAUGCUUUAGCAUUAUCACUCAUCAAUGUAGGUAAUAGUUAACUGUCUUAAUCUCAACACAAUAGGUAGAAAAAUAAGAAACACCUCAGAACAGUUCUUCUCAAAAUAUUUUGCUGUCAUUUGGGAAAAGUUCUAUGCGAAAGUAACAAAAUAUCUAAACCCAAGUUUAGACACAGGAAGAUACAAUCCCCAAAUAUCUGAGUGAACUAAUUCAAAAGCAAAAUCAACUACGAGGAAUAUAUGUACUACUUUAUGCAAAAACUAAAAUAAAUGUGUUUACACAUAUUUCCAUUCAGUGUGAUAUUCAGAGAGUAAAACUACAAGUUUGUUCUUUUUGAAUUCCAAACACUCUUCUCCAAGACUGUUCCCAUUACUAAAAAUCCUCAAGUUACACUGUUCAAUCACUUACAAUGUUCUCUGGCAUUGUAGGUUAAUCGAAGAGCCACUAUUUCAAUAUACAAUGAAAAAGUUGAUUCAAUUCUUUAACUAAGCUUUAGUGCAACUCAAGAUGCUAAGCACUAAAGUUGAUUACAUUUAUUAAACAAAAUUUUCUAUAGAAGCUACUGCUAUCGAAGAUCGAUGCUCAAUUGUUCAUACCUAAUAAUGGCUUUGUACCCCUAUAAUAGUACACAUUCUACUACAUCAUCUUCAUUGCCAUCAUUUUCCUUACAUUGAUGAACCCAAAAAAAUAAGUAAGAGAUUCACUUAUUCUCCGGAAUAACAUUUUCCAAAAAAACAUUUUAGAGACAUUCUUAUCAUUUGGUAGAUCCAAGUCCAUGGCCUAUUUCCAUGGAACACAUUUUCCUUGGUAUCGAACACACCGUCAGAACUUUGCUCUUUUAUCAAGGAGUUGAUAUCCCCAGCUCUGGACCUCACUUGUGGGGAGUUCAUUGGGUAUGUUAUUAUUUGAGUUGAUAUGCCCUGCUGAAAGUCUUUGUGGGUAGGGAGUAUAAGAAUGAUCCACAACUGCCGGCAAAGAUGUAACAUUACCAUGUUGAUCUCAAUAUAACAGAUGUAUUCCUAUCUUCUUUACUACUAUACCUUCGGUAGUGCCAUCCUCUACUGUUAUCUGUUCCCCGCCUUUGAUCUCCAUGCCGUUAAAAGGUUUAUCAUUUGAGUAAGAUAUAUGUAAUAUAAACAUGUUACUUUUCCGUGACUGUCAAGUAUAUCAAAAGGCCAAGUCCACGGAAAAGCUGAAGGCAGAUAUAGGCAACAGUAACAAUGAAGUGUUGAAGAAGGAUUACAUCGCAUAAGGGGUAAACAAACCAGAGAACCAUUCCUGAGAACUUAUACUCCUUAUUAUGUACCGUGGGCAUAGUCAAACAAAUAGAUGGUGCUGUUACUUUAUUGCUGCACCAAUCCGGAAUCUCAUUGCAUUCAAGAUUAAUUCGUAACGACUGCUUCAUCAGACAAAUUAGUCUGUCCAAAUUUCCUAUUGAUGGAUGAAUCUCCUUUAGACUUGAGCAAUUCUGAAGCCACAAAGUCUCGAGACUUCGUGAACCCUUGAAGUUUGGAGUACUUCUGAGGCGCUUGCAAUCAGAGAGAUCCAGCCUCUUCAAACCAUGAAAUUGCAAUAUAACAGUACACAUGAAAUUGCAGAAUUGAGUAACAAACCUGCAAAUUCAAACCAAAUUCUUGGAUAUUGCUACCUCUCAUAUUCAGAACUACAAGUUUCUCAGCUGGAAAAUUUGAUGGUACACAUUUCAAAGGACAUACUUUCCAAGACAACCAUCUGAGCUCCUUGGACAACAGCUCAACAUCUCAACUAAUAUGUAAGUUAUCGAUUUUAAGCACCCUAAGUUUUAUCAUUUUCUGAAAUGCUUUGGUACUCAACUUCAUACCCUUUAAUGCCCGUUGUUCUACCACCAGUACUUCUACUUUUUUGAAACCCUGUAGUUUAGUCAAAAGAAAAGUACCAUAAGACCAUGUUAAGUACGAGAAAUUACGAGAGAGAAAUGUUUUAUACAUGUUGAAGGUCAAACAAAGAGAAUAAAUUAUCUACCAAGAAAAAUAAAUUUACACAUUAUUUCCAACUAAAGGAUAUUUAAUAAGAAAUAUCUUUCAGCAAACCAAUUUAUAUAAUUAUUUAAUAAGUGCAUUUUAUUUGAUAAUUUUGUCUUUGAUAGUUUGAGUGUUUGACUUUAGUAAAUGCUCAUUUUAAGCAGAGUGUAGUUGACAAACAACUAGAGAUAAUUUACUUGCCAGAGAAGAAUUAAGCACAAAUGAAUUGAAUUCUUGUGGUGACAACAUAUAUUAUAAGCAAAUAUAUAUCAAAUUAAAUGAAAAAGAGAGAGAGAGAGAGGAAAGUAUAACCAAGACAAAGACAAUGAAAGUUUCCGACUUUAUUUCCUUGUAGAACGUCAAGAACUUCUUGAGGGUUGAACAAUCUACUCCGUUUUCCAGAGUCACGAGGUGAUUCCAUGCGAACGAUUUCUCUUCCCAUAUCCCACACAAGAUCAUGCAUCACCAAAUAAGGCCAAUCCCUUUGGAGCAAGUUCCUUUGGACUAACGUUGAAAUUGCACUUUCAGAAUAAAAUCGACACACAUUUAAUGUUUUGGUAACUUCAUCCGCAUAACAUCCAUUAAAGGUGCAAGCGAUAUCAAGGAAAACACUCUGAGUAUUGUCAUCAAAUCCAUCAAAGCUUAUCUAGAGAAUCUUUUGAAUAUCACUAUGAGGGAUUGAUCUUAGUUUUUUGAACUCAUUCUCCAUUCUUCUACGGAUCUCCCUUGCAAAUGUGACCCCAAUGUCACAAGAGCUAAUGGUAGCCCACAUGAAUAUCUUAUUAUGUCUUGUGCCAGCUCAACAUAUUCUUAUGGUGGAGAAAGAUUGUUAAAAGCAUGACAAGAAAAAAUUUGUUGAGUUUCAUUUUCAUUUAAAGGUUUGGCCUGGUAUAUCUCACUUGUUGUAAGCCCAUAUAGCAAAUCCAUGUCUCAGGUUGUAAUAAUUAUUACACUACUAGAGCCAAACCAAUUUUUUUCUCUUGUUAACGAUUCUAAUUGGCUUCAAUGAUUCACGUCAUCAAGAACAAUUAGAACUUUCUGUGACCCAAGUCUUGCUUUGAUUAGAUUGACACCUUCAACAACACUGUCAACUUCGAAGUCCUUAGUGUUGAGGAUUUGAUGAAGUAGUUUCUCUUGUAGCUUGACUAGACCCAAUUCUUCAACUUUUGAUCUAACAUUUGAAUGGAAUGGUUGAAUUGUGAUCCUAAUUCAUGUUCUCCCUGCAUUUCUUCACAACGUUCAAAAUCUUCUACAUUUACUGCCUGAUCUUUGAUAUCCAUUGGAUGAUCAUGUAUAUUCAUUGAAUGAUCACCCAAGCUCUCAUUUGAAUGAUGACUCAAGCUUAUCUUCUUUGAAUGAUCACCCAAGGUCUUAUUUUCAAUCGAAUCAUCUCAUCGUUAAAUGAAUUCAUUGAUUUAAUUGGAGGCCUAGCAAUGACAUUUAUCCUCAAUAUAGACCUAGAAACACCAAUAGCAAUAUCUAAAAUGUAUAAGCCCACAUGCCUAUCAUUCUUUAUGAAUAUGAUAUGUAUUUUUCCCUUCCCAUUCAUUUUAUAGCUAAACUCACUAGCCUCAAUUACACUUGCAAUCAUAUCGUCAUAUGAACCAUUGCGAUGCAAUGCAAUAGGCAUUAUUGUCUUACUAAAAUAUUUUCAAUUCCAGCUUUUAGGAGUCUCCUCCUAUCACAACCCAAAAAUGAAUGUGAUGGCACUUGUCUAUCCCCAUCAAGACAAGUCAGCCUCAACCUAAUGAAAUGAAAGACAUGUGGAAAUAAAAAAGCAAGAACAAGAUAAGGCGACAAACUUAUUCAUUCUAUUAACACCUGAAAACCUGGUUGUCACGUGUACAAACCACUAAUACAUAAAGUGCAGAAUUUAAAAAUAAAUACAAGUCUCAAUCUUUAUUUCUCAAAUAGUACAAAGCAUAAGCAAAAAGGAAAAGAGGGCCCGCCAAGAUGACAAACAACUAGCUCUCAAUAGUCAUUUGACAAGCCUCAAAAAGUAGGAGAAAAAGGACGAUCAUACAGUACCAGGCUCAGAACCUACACAAGUGUAGAAGCAAGGAGUCAGUACGAACAACACGGUACCCACUACCAAUCUAAUAAAUGAAGCAACCUAGCUAUAAAACGAAUACUCCUUCUAUCCCAACCAAACCUCCUCAAACUAUAACCUACACAUAAAUCAGCUCAACCUAACAGUUCUACAAUAAACAACUCACAAGGCUCAAUAGUCACAACUCAACAACCGACACACAUCAAGUAAGUAAAAUCUCAAUGUCAAAUAAAGCAAUCACACGUAACAAGUGCAUCAAUCAUAAUUAACAAGUAAAUCAGGCAUAAACAUCAAAAUGCAUCAAAUCAUAACAAUCAAUCUUUUGCCAUAACCAUUUCUCAUCGGCACAAUAUCACUAGCCGGAACCAUUUUCCAUUGGUUUUAUAUCAAAUCACUAACCGGAACCAUUUCCCAUCGACUUUAUAUCAAAUCACUAGCCGGAACUAUUUUCCAUCGGCUUUAAGUCAAUUCACUAGUCGAAACCAUUUUCCAUAUGUUUUAUAUUAUCAUUAGUGGGAACCAUUUCCCAUCGGCUUUAUAUCAAAUCACUAGCCGAAACUAUUUCCCAUCAGCUUUAUAUCAAACACUUGCCGAAAAUGAACUCGAAAUCAUUCAUGUUGUCAAGCAUUUCAUUAAUGAACUCGAAAAUGAACUCGAAAUCAUUCAUGUUGUCUCAUCACGGUGUUCAACAAUCAAUGCACACAAGCAAUAUCACGACACACGAAAGAGACAACGAUUCACACAAUUCAAAUUCACAUUCAUGUUGUCAAGCAUUUCAUCAAUCAAUCAAAUAGGGGUCAUCUUAAAGCAAUUCACAAACAUUAUGAUUAACACAAAACCUUAUCAUUUCAAUCCCUUUUUAUUCUUAAAGAUUUAACAAGUGGACAAUUAACCUUUCAUCAACACACACAAAGAUGGAAAUAUAUAAAUUCUAUUAAAUUGCGAGGUUUAGGAGAUCACUUGCCUUAAAUCGAUCAACUAGUCACUCCAAGACUUGAGUCUUCCCCUUCCGAUCAAUGUCCAAAGCCAGACGAUCUAUAUCAAUUAAAUGUUCAGUAUAAAAAUAUAAAGACAACAAUACCUAACUCAAUACUUUAAAAAAUGGGUCAAUCAACAAAACCCAAUUCUGAAAAUAAAGUUUGAAUCCGAAAUUAUUUGGUUGAAAUCAUUACCCAAGGCAUUUGUAACUCAUUGUUGAAAACUAUUUCAAAAAAGGACUUAAAAUCAGUCAACAAUUUCCAUUUUAGUUUAGAAUUUGAUUUCUUGAAAAACCUUGUCAUUUACCAAUCAAAAUCCCUAAAUAAUCAAAGGGAAAUGAUGUUUUAGGAUCUUAAAAGCUUACCCAAAUGAUUUAACAAAAGAAAUCCUUUAAAAUCGCCUCAAAAGUUUCCCAAGCUAAAAAAAUAAUGGAAAAUGGGGCUAAAACCCCAAAAUUUUAGGUCUAAAACCCUUUCUGAUGUCGCAAAAGUGAACUUAGGUUCUCUUAAGAGGACUUCGCAAAAGAGACCUCUGGUUCACUUAAUCGAACCUCGCUUAAGCAGACCCCUUCGCAAAAAAGUUAGGUUAAUAGACUCUAGAAAAUUUAGCCAACUCUCAAAACAUCGAAAGGAUCCUUAUGAUUCAUUCAGAGCCCUGUACAUAGAAAUCAUAUAUGCAAAUUAAUUAUACUCAACGUUUUGGACUCAAUGGAACCGUCAAAAUACGAAUCAAUAUGAGGUCUCCUUGAUUCGGCACCCGUGAAAUCACAAGAAACUAGCUCAACACCUAAAAAGGCUAAAACAAGCUCGGGACCUUUCAAAAAUCAACCAAGACCUCACCUAGGCCUAAAGUUAUUCCCCGAAUCCAACGAAACUCUCGAAAUUCGGAUUCAAAAUCUAAACCUGAAUGUUGACCAGAGUUAACCCAAAGGCUAAAUUUCCUCAAUUUCACAACUUAGGACCUCAAAUACUCAAAAGGACUCCGAAUCUGAAAUCGAUAACUAACACAUAUCAGAUUCCACAUUCCAGGGCUGAUGGAAUUGAUGGAAUUCCAUUCCAACACUCAAAAGUCCAAAAGACACCAGAAUUCACUUUCCAAAAGACACCACUUCCUACUCGACAGGGCUUCACUAAAACGGGAUAACUCAAAACUCAACCAAAAACAACUCGGGGUCGAUCUUGGGAGGGGAAAAAUGGUAAAUUCACGAGGUUUUUAAAAAAUAACCAAGUCAUUACAUCUCUGGUAUUCCCCUAUAAUCAUCAUCAACAACAACAAAUUUAACUAGUGUCAUUAUAGACUACAAUGAUAGAUACUAGAUUUUGGUAUCAGUGUUUAAUGGUCAAGGAUUAAUACGAAAUUCGUACAAAAAUGCGAAUGAAAAAUAUCGUGUUCAAAUUGACCUCUUGCAAUGUAGAAACGUAUUUAUUAAUGCUUCUAAACUAUUGAAAUUUAUCUACUAACGAGUUAUCAAGUGAUUUUGAUAUAUUUCUCAAGCUUCUAAAAUGGCAGGAAAAAUAAUUUUUUGUAGGUAUUUCAAAGAAAAUGGGGUGAAAAUGAAAGCAAUGAGUAGGAUGAUGAUGAUUUCGUCUGUGUAAAGGAUAAUAUCAUCAGAAAUGCAACACCUCAAACUUCGAGAAAUGGCUAAAGGGAAAACGGGCAAGUCCACGAACCCUAAAUAGACCAUGGACCCUUCACGAGACCUUAGAUGACCCAUUUUAGGGUCCACAACCCGUCUUGGGCAUUGUGACAGACUACCCAAGGCAGCCAAGGUGAAGGUCACCUAGACGUGCCACUAAAUGACUAGUGGUGACUUGUAUGAUCCGUUUAGUGGUCCGUACAAGUCACCCAUCAGAUUUUGAGUUUUGGGUCAACUUAAAACGAUCAUAUCUCUCAGCACAAAGUGAUCUAGGUGGCCCAUGACUUAUCAAAUUAAAGAUCUUUGAUUCCUCUUUCAAACACCACCAAGUUUGCCUCAUUUCAAGUUUGGAGUAAUAAGUUAUCCCGUUUUAGUGAAGCCCUGUCGAGUAGGUGCAACUUGAAAACCCACUAGAUGGGUCGUGAAGCAUUAAACGACUCGUGACAUUGGCCGUUUUGGGCACCUUUUUAAAAGUUGGGAUUGUUUUCGUCUUUCCCUAUGCGUUUGGUACUUAAACUACGUCGUUUUAGACCUUAUUCUAAGCCUAAACUACGUCAUUUCACACCAAAUUAAGGGCUUAGAAAGUGUUAAUCAAUUCUUUUACAUUCAUUUACACUUCAAGACAUUACAGAAAGGUUCCAAGAGGAGAAAAUUUAGGGUUCAAGCGUUCUUCAAGUUUCUUCGAUUUCGCCAAAGAACUUUGCUUUUCCAGGUAUGUGGGGCAAUCAUAGUGUUGGAUUAGUUCGUCCUCACACCCUACAUCUAUUUUCAAAUCAGUAAAAGAGUAAUCUAGGGUUCUAGCCUUAGAUUUCAAUAUUCUUGAAAUGAGUUGAUAUUGAGUUUUGAAUUCUUGAGUUGUUGAUUAUUGAAUUCCUAUUCCUAAUCAUUGAAUUGCCAUACAAUGUGAAUUGUGAUUAUUGAGUUGAUUGUUCAUGACUAUUUUUCAGCAUGAACCCUAUUUUAAGUAUUCAAUGAAUUCUUAUUGAGAAUCUUUUAAACAAAAUAUUAUUGUUUGAAUUGAGUUUUGAGGAAGUAAAGAACAGUUUAAGAAAGAGUAUAAGGGAACUAAGUAUUUUCCAAAUGUUUCAUUUUUACAUGGAGAAAAUGAGUAGACUUUUUGAGAAAAGUUAAAAGUAUUUUCAGAAAGAUUAAGUACAGAGCAUUUACCUCUUAAAGAGGUCCAUUUUUGAAUAAUUAUCUCAACCCAGAAUGUAUUUUUACAUUAAGUAAAGAGAAACCUUGUUUUCUAAAUGAACAAUGAGUUUCAGAGACAGUUCAGAGCAAUUACCUCUUUUAAGAUGAUAGUUUAAGAAAUUAUCUCAAACCAAAGAAAGAAUAAUGUUUUUAUACAUUGAGCAAAAGUAAAUAUUGUUGGGAGUAGUUUUGAGCACCGAUAUGGGGGAGAGUUCAGACAACUCACAAACCCCAUAAACUAUGUGUUGGCCACAUGGAUACAUGAUCAUACUUUUUAGAUGAAUCCUUAGUCCUUCGGGCAGAGCUUAGUGGAUCCACUUAGUUGAGGUGUUUUAUAUCCCAACACGAUAUAAGACAGUUCUGACAACGUGGACAAGACGAUGUAUCAUCAGUUAGCUCAUAGUGAGGGUUGUCGGUUAGAGAAUCUCCCAAUAGAGUUAAAGUGUAAUUUUAUAUAUCACUUCUUAUGUUAAAGUUUAGAGAAUGAGAAAGUAUUUUGUAAAGUUAAAGGUUUUCAUUCCUUUAAUUAUUUGCAUUCAGUUGAGUUUAUGUUAUACCUAUUAUAGUAAUUUCUUUCAGUUAUUUCGUCUUGACUAUAUUACAUACUCAUACAUUCAAAUGUACUGAUGUCAUUCAACCUACAUUAUUUAUGAUGCAGACACAAAUGUUCAGGAUCAUCAACAUGCAUUUCGUUGAGAUCACUUUGUGCUUCAGAUAGGCUUUGGUGAGCCUCUUUGCUUUCAGGAGGAUUUCACAUUUAUUUUCUGUUAUUGUUGAGUUGGGGUCUUGUCCCGACAUCUAUCCUAGUAUUAGAGACUUCAUAACUAGUUAGAGUUGAUGAGUCUCUCAGUAUGUUUCUUUCUGUUUUGAGAUCUUGAGAACUAUUACUUAUACUUUAUUAAGUAUAUUUAGACAUCUAUUUGAGUUGAGUUUAAUUGAGACUACUGAGUUGAGUUUAAUUAUGUAUUUAAAGCUUCUUAAUCCUUGAGUAAGUCUUCCGCCAAAUAGUCAGUCAGGCCAAGGAUUCAUUUGGGGUUUAGAAAUGGUUCUCAAGUGCCGGCCACGUUCAGGAUGUAGGCUCGUGGCUUGACAUAAAAAGUCGUUGAAAUCGACAACAAAAGCUGAAGCUUUUCGAGUUUCUUGUUGGAGAGUUUGUAGGUAUUUCAAAGAAAAUGGGGUGAAAAUGAAAGGAAUGAGUAGGAUGAUGAUGAUUUCAUAUGUGUAAAAGAUAAUAUCACCGGAAAUGUAACACCUCAGACUUCGAGAAAUGGCUAAAGAGAAAACGGGCAAGUUCACGAACCCAAAAUAGACUAUGGACCCUUCACGAGACCUUAGACGGCCCGUUUCAGGGUCCACAACUUGCUUUGGGCAUUGUGAAGGACUACCCAAGGUAGCCAAGGUGAAGGUCACCUAGACAAGCCACUAAACGACCAGUGGUGACUUGUAUGAUUCGUUUAGUGGUCCGUACAAGUUACCCAUCAGAUUUUGAGUUUUAGAUCAACUUAAAACAAUCAUAUCUCUCAGUACAAAGUGAACUAGGUGGCCCAUGACUUAUCAAAUCAAAGGUCUUUAAUUCCUCUUUCAAACACCACCAAGUUUGCCUCAUUUCAAGUUUGGAGUAAAAAAUUAUCCUGUUUUAGUGAAGCCCUGUCGGGCAGGUGCAACUUGAAAACCUACUAGAUGGGCCGUGAAGCAUUAAACGGCUCGUGACACUGGCUGUUUUGGGCACCUUUUUAAAAGUUAGGGUUGUUUUGGUCUUUUCCCUAUGUGUUUGGUACUUAAACUACGUCGUUUUAACCCCUAUUCUAAGCCUAAACUACGUCAUUUCACACCAAAUUAAGGGCUUUGAAAGUGUUAAUCAAUUCUUUUACAUUCAUUUACACUUCAAGACAUUACAGAAAAGCUCCAAGAGGAGAAAAUCUAGGGUUCAAACGUUCUUCAAGUUUCUUCGAUUUCGCCAAAAAACUUUGCUUUUCCAGGUAUGUGGGGCAAUCAUAGUGUUGGACUAGUUUGUCCUCACACCCUACAUCUACUUUCAAAUAAGUAAAAGAGUAAUCUAGGGUUCUAUCCUUAGAUUUUAGUAUUCUUGAGAUGAGUUGAUAAUGAGUUCUGAAUUCUUGAGUUGUCGAUUUUUGAAUUCCUAUUCCUAAUCAUUGAAUUGUCAUACAAUGUGAAUUGUGAUUAUUGAGUUGAUUGUUCAUGACUAUUUUUCAGCAUGAACCCUAUUUUGAGUAUUCAGUGAAUUCUUAUUGAGAAUCUUUUAAAUAAAAUAUUAUUGUUUAAACUGAGUUUUGAGGAAGUAAAGAACAGUUUGAGAAAGAGUAUAAGGGAACUAAGUAUUUUCCAAAUGUUCAUUUUUACAUGGAGAAAAUGAGUAGACUUUUUGAGAAAAGUUAAAAGUAUUUUCAGAAAGACCAAGUACAGAGCAUUUACCUCUUAAAGAGGUCCAUUUUUGAGUAAUUAUCUCAACCCAAAAUGUAUUUUUACAUUAAGUAAAGAGAAACCUUGUUUUCUAAAUGAACAAUGAGUUUCAAAGACAGUUCAUAGCAGUUACCUCUAUGAAGAUGAUAGUUUAGGAAAUUAUCUCAAACCAAAGAAAGAAUAAUGUUUUUAUACAUUGAGCAAAAGUAAAUAUUGUUGGGAGCAGUUUUGAGCACCGAUAUAAGGGAGAGUUCAGAUAACUCACAACCCCCAUAAGCUAUGUGUUGCCCACAUUGAUACAUGAUCAUACUUUUUAGAUGAAUCAUUAGUGCCUUCAGGCAAAGCUUAGUUGAUGUGUUCUAUAUUCCGGCACGAUAUAAGACAAUUUAGGCAGCGUGGACAAGACGAUGUAUCAUCACUUAGCUCAUAAUGAGGGUUAUCGAUUAGAGAAUCUCCCAAUAGAGUUAAAGUGUAAUUUUAUAUAUCACUUCUUAUGUUAAAGUUCAGAGAAUGAGAAAGUAUUUUGUAAAGUCAAAUGGUUUCAUUCCUUUAAUUCUUUGCAUUCAGUUGAGUUUAUGUUAUACCUAUCAUAGUACUUUCUUUCAGUUAUUUCGUCUCGACCCUACUACAUACUCGUACAUUCAAAUGUACUGAUGUCAUUCAACCUGCAUCUUUUAUGAUGCAGACAUGCGUUUCGUUGAGAUCAC
rnacentral:lncRNA from 1 species